AUGGAGCAAGCAACUGACUUAUUGGAAAUAAUACAUACUGAUGUAUGCCGUCCGAUGAGUGUUGAGGCUCGCGACAAGUAUCGUUAUCUUCUGACUUUCACAGAUGUUUUGAGCAGAUAUGGGUAUAUCUACUUGAUGAAACAUAAGUCUGAAACAUUUGAAAAGUUCAAAGAAUUUCAGAGUGAAGUGGAAAAUCAUCGUAACAAGAAAAUAAAGUUUCUACGAUCUGAUCGCGGAGAUGAAUAUUUGAGUGACGAGUUUGGCCUUCAUUUAAAACAAUGUGGAAUAGUUUCACAAACUCAUGCCACCUGGAACACCACAGCGUAA
rnacentral:rRNA from 1 species